UACGUAGGGGGCAAGCGUUGUCCGGAAUCAUUGGGCGUAAAGCGCGUGUAGGCGGCUUGGUAAGUCCGCUCUGAAAGCCCGGGGCUCAACCCCGGGAGGCGGGUGGAUACUGUCAAGCUCGAGUCCGGAAGAGGCGAGUGGAAUUCCUGGUGUAGCGGUGAAAUGCGCAGAUAUCAGGAGGAACACCAAUGGCGAAGGCAGCUCGCUGGGACGUGACUGACGCUGAGGAGCGAAAGCCAGGGGAGCAAACGGG
rnacentral:rRNA from 1 species